UACCAGCACCCCGAGUGGUCGGGACGUUUAUUGGGCCUAAAGCAUCCGUAGCCGGUUCUACGAGUCUUACGUUAAAUCCAACUGCUUAACAGGUGGGCUGCGGAAGAUACUAUAGAGCUAGGAGGCGGGAGAGGCAAGCGGUACUCGAUGGGUAGGGGUAAAAUCCGUUGAUCCAUUGAAGACCACCAGUGGCGAAGGCGGCUUGCCAGAACGCGCUCGACGGUGAGGGAUGAAAGCUGGGGGAGCAAACCGG
rnacentral:rRNA from 1 species